AUUUGGAAAUGGGACUAUUGCAUUCCGGAAAUGAAGGGGGCGCUAUUUUCAUAAUCACUGGUAUAAAUACCUUAAGACGCAGGUUAAGAGGAAAGGAAGAAGAAAGAAAGAAGUUUGAGAGGUUCUUCCACUGGUGUUCGGCACACGAUCAACAAUGCAAAAUUCACAAAGUCAACAAAAGAUCCACGUAUCUAUUUGCAACAUGAACAUAAAUAUUGCUGUUCCCUUUGCUCAUACAAGCUACAGAACCAUUUAGCACAAACUGCUAUGGUUCAACAUAAUGAUGCCUCUGAAGGUUCUUGAAGCUGUUCUCCAGGAGGUGAUACCAGCACAGGGAGACUCAGCUUACCUCACCUUGGCAUUGACCUGCAAGUGCUUUGAAGCCGUUGUGUCUGAGCCAGUUUUCAGGAAGAUGACUCACUUUGCUUGGCUGGAUGGUGAGAUCAACUGGGGCAAAUUUUCAAAAACAUUCAAGGCAGAAAACCGGAUUCCUUUUGCGGUUGUAACGUGUUCUUCCUGCAACCGGUAAUAUAAAGACUGUGGGCUUCACCGGCAAUGGAAGACGAGGAGAGUACCCUGGUUACUACUGUGAUGGCCGACCUGGACACUGCACUGACUGUCAAUACUGAAUGCAAGGAGAAUAUUAGUUGCUUUCCACUGUCUUUCACACAUUUCAGUUAACACACAUUGUUUAUUUUUUUGUGACAUGCCAUUUUAAAUCAUUUCUGCUAAAGUAUAUUUGCCUUUUGACUUGUGCAGUCAUCCUUUUUAAUAAUGUGUUCUUUCAAUAUUAUUUACAUUUUUGAAUGUUCCUUUUAUUGUAGUUCAGUUGAUUUUCAUUAUUUAGUUUUCAUAGAAAUGGUGCCGUUUCCACACAAAGUUACAUUGUGGCUGUAAUUUGUUGGAGAGAGUAGAACCAAUAAAGUAGUUGUAAAUAUAUUGUAACAGCGUUAUUUAACAAUAGGAUAACCUUGUUUUAAAAAUUUUAAAUGCAAGC